rnacentral:rRNA from 1 species
CAGUAGCCACGGUAAUACGAAGGGUGCAAGCGUUACUCGGAAUUACUGGGCGUAAAGCGUGCGUAGGCGGCUUCUUAAGUCGGAUGUGAAAUCCCUGAGCUUAACUUAGGAAUUGCAUUCGAUACUGGGAAGCUAGAGUAUGGGAGAGGAUGGUAGAAUUCCAGGUGUAGCGGUGAAAUGCGUAGAGAUCUGGAGGAAUACCGAUGGCGAAGGCAGCCAUCUGGCCUAAUACUGACGCUGAGGUACGAAAGCAUGGGGAGCAAACAGGAUUAGAUACCCGCGUAGUCCCUGUCUCUUAUAC